ACCGGCACUGGGCUUCGCCUGUAGCGCAAGACGCCCUGGUUGAAACAAAGCACCAACACAGUCCCAUUGAGCCUUACCCACUCCCACUGAGCCAGCCACCAGGAGAAUAAGCAAGCUACUUUCCCUUUUCCAAAACAUUCCUCACUUAUUUUUCCCAACCACCAACAAAAUUGACCCGAGUCAGCAAUUUGAGGGAGUUUGUUAACCUCACCCACACCCUGGGGAGGGGACAGGGACAGACAAUGACAUUAUUUCAUUCAAAAGGGUGUACUGAGCACGUGGUUCACCUCGAGAAGACACACACUGAACAGUGGCAGCGAGUGGUUGGCUCUGGAACUCUCCUCUCCUGAUGGGUGUCGCUCAAGUGGGGAGGGGAGGUUUGAAAAGUGGCCUUAGCUCCAGGUGGCCCACCAUGAGAUUACUUGGAACCAGAUGCAAGCACCUUAAUCAGAAACACAGUGCCAGGUAUUUCAGCCAAACAGUCUGAGUUCUACAUGAGAAAACUUCGCCUGAGAACCAGAAUUGCAGAAGGUAAUGAGAGAAAGCCAAGACUGAUCCCGUUUGUUGUCGGAUGCCAUUGCGUUGGUUGUGACUGUACAGCAGAACAAAACACCGCCUGGUCCUGGGCCGUCCUCACAAUUGUUCUUACGUUCCUGGAGAGUUCUAUAGUCUGGACAGAAUGGAAUUUAUUCACAUUAAAAUAUGUGUAAAGCCAUCCAA